rnacentral:rRNA from 1 species
AAAUUGAAGAGUUUGAUCAUGGCUCAGAUUGAACGCUGGCGGCAGGCCUAACACAUGCAAGUCGAACGGUAACAGGAAGCAGCUUGCUGCUUCGCUGACGAGUGGCGGACGGGUGAGUAAUGUCUGGGAAACUGCCUGAUGGAGGGGGAUAACUACUGGAAACGGUGGCUAAUACCGCAUAACGUCGCAAGACCAAAGAGGGGGACCUUCGGGCCUCUUGCCAUCAGAUGUGCCCAGAUGGGAUUAGCUUGUUGGUGAGGUAACGGCUCACCAAGGCGACGAUCCCUAGCUGGUCUGAGAGGAUGACCAGCCACACUGGAACUGAGACACGGUCCAGACUCCUACGGGAGGCAGCAGUGGGGAAUAUUGCACAAUGGGCGCAAGCCUGAUGCAGCCAUGCCGCGUGUAUGAAGAAGGCCUUCGGGUUGUAAAGUACUUUCAGCGGGGAGGAAGGUGUUGCGGUUAAUAACCGCAGCAAUUGACGUUACCCGCAGAAGAAGCACCGGCUAACUCCGUGCCAGCAGC